ACGAACAUGCCUAUCUUUGUGAUUGUUUGACUGUAUUUUGGGUCUCACUUGUGACUGUUUUUCUUUUCUGUUUCCCUAAGGUUAUGUCUUUUGUUCAUCAAUGCUUCAUUUUCUUCAGGCUAAGAGAUGAAAACUCAUUCUUUUGUUACAAAGAUGCUCCAGAAUUAUUAAAACUACUUGAACAUGCUGUCUCUGUUAUCGAGCAAAACUGCUCUGAUCUUCUACAUCAUUGUUGUUUUGGCUCUUGCCCUAUUUUGGAUGGUACUGGCUCUACAUCAGCUUCUCUUCGGAAUUUUCUCUGCUGUCCUCUUUUCAGUUGGAAAGAUCAAAAUGCUGUUGAUUCUGUGCUUUGUCGAUAUACUAUCCUAGCCAUUGGGAAUCUCUUAAGGGCUCUGGCUGCAGUUUAUGAGUGGAAGUUGGACAUGAUUACCAAUUUCUAGUUUUUCCUCAGCUCUGCCUUCAUUACGGGGAAAAUCUUGUUUGAUCUCAUGGAAAGAGAAAAAGAUACUAAGGUCUGCGAGCAUAUUCGUUGCAGUCUCUUUGAACAUUUUUCCCUGUCUUAUUCUCAUCUCUUGGACAUGGUUGCAUCCGUGGAAAGCAUGGCUGAAAUGAGAUAUGAGUCUUAAACUCUCUUGUGAUACUAUUUUAACAAUUGUGCAUGUCUUGCUUGGGACAUUGACAUCCUCUGGUUCUGGUGGAAAGCAUAAAAGUGUUAAUCCAUCUGUGCAUGGAAGGGAAUUUGAACAGGUAUUCAGGAAAACUUUUGCUUUAACUUCUGUUUUGAUAAUAAGGGAUGGAAAUGUUUGAAAGGAAAUAAAACAAAUAAGUGGGUAGAGGAAAUUUAUGAAA